rnacentral:rRNA from 1 species
UACGGAGGGUGCAAGCGUUAAUCGGAAUUAUUGGGCGUAAAGGGCGCGUAGGCGGCUCGGCACGUCCGUUGUGAAAUCGCCCGGCUCAACUGGGCGGGGUCAGCGGAUACGGUCGAGCUCGAGCAAGCUAGGGGGCAAUGGAAUUCCCGGUGUAGUGGUGGAAUGCGUAGAUAUGCGGAGGAACACCGAUGGCGAAGGCAAUCCCCUGGGCCUGCACUGACGCUCAUGCACGAAAGCGUGGGGAGCAAACAGG